rnacentral:rRNA from 1 species
UGGGGAAUAUUGCACAAUGGGCGCAAGCCUGAUGCAGCCAUGCCGCGUGUAUGAAGAAGGCCUUCGGGUUGUAAAGUACUUUCAGCGGGGAGGAAGGUGUUGUGGUUAAUAACCUCAGCAAUUGACGUUACCCGCAGAAGAAGCACCGGCUAACUCCGUGCCAGCAGCCGCGGUAAUACGGAGGGUGCAAGCGUUAAUCGGAAUUACUGGGCGUAAAGCGCACGCAGGCGGUCUGUCAAGUCGGAUGUGAAAUCCCCGGGCUCAACCUGGGAACUGCAUCCGAAACUGGCAGGCUUGAGUCUUGUAGAAGGGGGUAGAAUUCCAGGUGUAGCGGUGAAAUGCGUAGAGAUCUGGAGGAAUACCGGUGGCGAAGGCGGCCCCCUGGACAAAGACUGACGCUCAGGUGCGAAAGCGUGGGGAGCAAACA